ensembl:lncRNA
CAUUUCUAAGCACAAUAAUGCCAAGUUAAAGUGAACUUGUGCUCAUCCUGGGCGUCGGUCUGGCAGAUUUCUACUAUUUGUAUACGAUUUUGUUAGUUUAAUUUUGUUUUUCCUUACAGUUAUAUUGUACUUGUUGUUCUGAAUAACAAAACAGGAACACACGCAAGAACGAUGAAACAAGAGUUGAGAGCAGUUCUUAUUGGAAGGCAACACUGUGGGAAAACAUCGGUGAUCAACACUAUAUUGGAAACCAGAACAGAAGCUGAAGGAGAUGAGCAUGUGAAGAGAGAGGGAUUUAUUGAUGACAGGAGAGUCAGUCUUGUUGAAACUCCUGGCUGGUGGAAAACCUUCAAUCCAAUCGAUUAUUCCAACCUCUCCAAACUGCAGCUGAUUCGCAGGACUUAUCUGAUUUCACCUGGACCUCAUGCGGUUCUGAUUGUGAUUCGGGCCGAUUCUGCAUUUACUGACACCGAUUGGAGGUUUCUGGAGGAGCAUUUGGAGCUGCUUGGUCCCAAUGUCUGGACUCACACCCUAAGGUACAGUUAAAUUUACAGUUGUUUCAGCAAAUGUUGGCAGUCGAUAUUCAUUUAUAAUUCUGUUUGUUGUUUGGUUGAAAAAAAAAGUUUUAAUAUUUAAACUUUAAUCUGGUCUGCCUCAGCUGUCUAACAGAGCUAGUCAAUGUCAAAAUGUCCGAGAUGACCAAUCAAAUUGAAGAGGGCGGGGCUUUAUUGUUCUUUUUACUGUGCUUUACUUUUUCUGAAUUCCAAUGCAACACUUCAGUUUUUAACAUGGAAAAAGUGUGAGAAAAUAUUUAAGUGGACCAGCUGAACAUUUAAUAUUUAACAAUGAUUUUACGAUAGAAAUGUUUAACAAUAUAUGUUAAUAUCCAGUGAUGCAAACUACUUGAUUUUUUUUUUUUUAAAUAUUGCAGAUUUUAAUUAAAAAAUAUGAGCUGAAUCAAUCAAAUCAAAUUUAAUUCUACAUUUGCCAUUUGUAGUUUUGGGUUUUCGUUUUGUUAAUGUUUCGGUUUGUUAAUAGACAAUUUUCCAUGGUCUUUCUCUGUUAUCCCAGGAAACCGAGCUUAUGUUAGUAACCAGACUGUUCCCUUUCGAAACGGUCUCUCACAUUACACUUACCACACUAGGUGAACAAUUUAUCCAAUAGCGCUGUGCUAUAAGCGCAGAAGGAAAAGCUGUCCUGCGAGCCCAGCCCUAGGGUGCCCAGGGUGAGGGUCCUAAGGGAACAUGGGCAAGUAAGGGCAUAAGUAACCAGGAAUUGAUUUCUCCCCAGAGAAAUAGCCCUGAUCACCAGCAGGGCUACAAGAUGGCUAGAUGAACCAAAUCCAUGCCUGAAGGGCAGGGAUGUCCAGGUUGUAAAACCUAGUAAACAUUCACAAUGGAGACCAGCCGGCUGCCGCACAGAUCUUUUAAAUGGAGAUAACACUGGACCAAGCCCAGGAGGAGGUCUUUCCCCUGGUGGAAUGAGCCCCG